rnacentral:rRNA from 1 species
CGGGGGGCAAGCGUUGUUCGGAAUUACUGGGCGUAAAGGGCUCGUAGGUGGUCAACUAAGUCGGACGUGAAAUCCCUCGGCUUAACCGGGGAACUGCGUCCGAUACUGGUUGGCUUGAGUUUGGGAGAGGGAUGCGGAAUUCCAGGUGUAGCGGUGAAAUGCGUAGAUAUCUGGAGGAACACCGGUGGCGAAGGCGGCAUCCUGGACCAAUACUGACGCUGAGGAGCGAAAGCCAGGGGAGCAAACGGGAUUAGAUACCCCGGUAGUCCUGGCCCUAAACGAUGAAUGCUUGGUGUGGCGGGUAUCGAUCCCUGCCGUGCCGAAGCUAACGCAUUAAGCAUUCCGCCUGGGGAGUACGGUCGCAAGGCUG